rnacentral:snoRNA from 1 species
ACUGCCCUUAGAGGCAUCACACCUAAGGCUGCUGUGUCAUAUCAGUUGGUGGCAGAGAAGAGAGAUACUACAUCUAUGCUUAGGGUUCUGGCCCAUGAAUAUCUUAAUGAUUAGUAGCCUAACAUU